CCAAGUUCAAACCCAGGAUGGAAUUGGGAUGAAGAAGGAGAGAUAUUCUUUAAACAUUUUUUAAUAGAGAAGAAGAAAAAUUGACUGGAAGUGCUCAAACUGCAGCUAGAUAAGGUCUCACUUUGUCACCCAGGCUGGAGUGCAGUGGUGCGAUCUCGGUUUACUACAGCCUGGACCUCCUGGGCUCAAGGGAUCCUCCCACCUCAGCUCCCUACCCUCAAGUAGCUGGGACUACAGGAUCCCCUGAAAUGCUGGGCACACUGACUAGCCUCUUGUAUAGAGUCUCAAGCCUGUGGCCAGAAGCAGCUGUGUGAAGUAGCCGCUGUGAUGGAUUGGGACCACAGAUACCACUUUGGAAGGAAAGGUUCCAGAAACCAAAGCUUGGGCCAUGGGUCUCUGGGAAACUGCAGCAGGAGUUUAGAGUCUAAUGGAUGGAACACAGAAGCAGGAAAAAAAUUGCUGUAGAAUAUGAUAAAGAUUAAUAGAGGUAUGUACAAAGCACAUUGGGGAUAG
rnacentral:lncRNA from 1 species